rnacentral:rRNA from 1 species
AGAACGAACGCUGGCGGCAGGCCUAACACAUGCAAGUCGAACGCCCCGCAAGGGGAGUGGCAGACGGGUGAGUAACACGUGGGAACAUGCCCUUUGGUUUGGGAUAACUCAGGGAAACUUGAGCUAAUACCGGAUAAGCCCGAGAGGGGAAAGAUUUAUCGCCGAAGGAUUGGCCCGCGUCCGAUUAGCUAGUUGGUGAGGUAAUGGCUCACCAAGGCGACGAUCGGUAGCCGGUCUGAGAGGAUGAUCAGCCACACUGGGACUGAGACACGGCCCAGACUCCUACGGGAGCAGCAGUGGGAAUAGUGGACAAGUGGGCGCAAGCCUGAUCCGAGCCAGUCGCCGCGUGAGUGAUGAACGGCCUAGGGUUGUAAAGCUCGUUCGCCGAGGGACGAGUAA